rnacentral:lncRNA from 1 species
GAGUGGGUCCAGGACUUACACCUGCAAACUUCCUGUUUCUUGGGUUGAGGUGACCUUCAUGGAAAUUAACGAGACUUAAUGUGUUUUGAAAAAGUCCUCUGGAUAGUGGGUCCAGGACUCAUGCGCCUGCAAACCUCCUGUUUCUUGGUGAUUACCAUAGAAAAGAUGUAUACCACUCCCACGAGGAAAGAACGACUAUCCUUGAUUAUAUUAUCCAUCCCUACAGCUAACUUCCAUUGAUGAUGGCUGCCAUCCCUAAAGCUAACUUCCAUUAAUGAUGGCAGCUGUCCCAACAGCUAACUUCUAUUAACAAUAGUCGCCGCCCCAUCAACUACCACACCUUCCACAGUUGAAGGCCACCAUUUAAGGGUCAAACAUUUACAGGGUAUCUUGAUUCAGUGCAUCAUAUAUAAUAUAGUGCUUUCAGGUUUAUUUAUGAAUACCGUAAUUACAUGUAUUUAUACAGUAAUUUAUCUAAUUAACUGAUCUCUCGUUAAUAGGUUUUCUAAUUAAUAGAUGGAAAUACUGUACUUUACCCAAAUAUUAAUAACAAUACAUUAGGCCCAGCAUCACUUCAUUUCAUAUGAUGCUAAGACCACAGGACCCUGCAUGCUGGUGGGCCAGAGUCCAUUGCAACGUGCUGACUGGUUGACUCGGAAUGUAAGGAGAAUAACCAGUUCACAGAAUCCUCAGCCCCAAUUUUAGCUGCCUUGUUUGUAUUGUGAUUCUAAUAUAUGUUUGUGCAAGUAGUAAUAAUCUUUUAGUUACAAUAGACUAAUUAUAGAAGAGUAUCAUAAAUAGGGGUAGCUUUAAAUGAGUGAAGAAACACUGCCCCCUUGCACCAACUAACGAUUCAUUCUACUUGUACUGUUACUCGUUUUUCCUAAUUAUCUCAAUUAAAAAACAAAGUUAACACUAAACUACAAUUAAAUAAUCAGUUUCAACAGCAAUCCAAAGUUAGCUAACAAAUAUAAGUACAUGGACAAUCCUGCGGCAAAUACGCUAACUAACGGUGAUACCUUCAUGCUAGUGAUUACUCAAGUGGGAAAAAUAUUAAGUGCAUCAUUCCACUUUAUACAAUAUCAGGUAAACAGCUAUCGUGAAACAAAGAGAAAUAGGAAGGAAAUGUCACUGAAAUAUGACUUCUGACUCUUUUUUUUGGACUACAUUUCAGUAGUAGUAGUAUGCAUAAACCCAAACUGAGAUGUUUCACGAAUAAUGUAUCUGUCCACAAGUUCCUGAUAUACCACAAGAUGCAAAAUGGAUAAGAAAUACAAAUUACAAAACUGACUUUUAAUGCUAGGAAUGAUCAUACAUCAUGACAUAUUACUUUUGUUCCCAUUGUAGAAAACUUGUACAUGAUUAGUCUUGCCAUUCUAUUAAAGUAAUGCUAAUUAUAAUCCCUACACUGUUAGUUGUCUUGAAGCAUAUAACUCUCAAAUUCAUGUGUUCAAUGGGUAUGGUAGGUGCUUGCAACAAUAGAGCUUUAGCAAUCUAACUUGGGACACUGUGAUGAGAGGCACACACACACCAAACACCACCAUAUUAGACACUGGGCAUGAUAAGAAUUAAGAGGAAUUGUCUUUCGAUUAUAAAUGUUUACAAUGUGUGUUCGGUCCCCCUACGGCAGAUCCCCAGGGCUUUUCGUUGCUAUGUGGUGAUGAUUCGAUGUGACGGAGGGGGGGUGUUAAUGGUGAUUUAACGUCGUAAUUAAUGGUUUCUUUUACGAUAUGUGAUUUAUGAUUUGUUUAUUUUCUUUGCCACUUGCGCUCUGUUGGCAAGUA